UGCGGAGGAGGAGGCUAACCCCUAGCCUAAUCAUGCCCUCUUGUUGCGUGGAUAACGAACCAAUUAUAUCGAUUUCUCCUUCUUGACGAACUGUUAUAACAUACUUACGACAAAGGCACCCACACUUUUCUCAAACGGUAUAUAAACAUCUGCGAUUGUACAUAAAAAUCACCAAAGACACUUCACUUCAGCCAAGGGCCUUAGCAAGAGCAAGAUAAUGAUCAUUUAUCAAGCCUAGCCAUGAACAAGAAUAUUUGCGCAGUCCUUGUUCUUCUUGUCCUUACGGUCGCCAUCGUUGAACAUGCAGAGGCUUUGACCAGCGGCGGCUUACAGAUGUGGGGCAAGAGACAGAACAUCCAAAGAGACGUCAGUCAAGUAGCCCAGCUGUUGACGAACCUUUGCGAAGCAGCACGUGAAGCCUGUGAUACCGAAGCAGUAAACGACGUCGAAAUGAAAUCGAAAGGCAAUCAAUAAACAGGCGUAUAGGAGUCGGCAGCUCAUCGCAGUCGGAGGUGUUGCGAGCAUAUGACAAAAUAUGAUAAAUUAUUAAAAUUAAUUCAUUAAUUGAAAUGCCUUGAGUGCUUUUUUUGUUCAGUUUCAUUGG